rnacentral:lncRNA from 1 species
AAAAUUAAGAGAAAAAGGAGAUUAGUCACCAUUAUCAGCGGUGGACACCUUGGUUUCAACAAAAAAAGAAAAAGAAAAAGAAAAAGAGAAAUUAUAUAUAGAACCAAAUUUGUAAAGAGUGUACUUUAUAGUUUAUAAUUGUUGUUAUUAUAGGUGGAAAGUAGUUAUAGAAGUUAAAAGUUAAGCAUAAAAGUCGGUCCUACACC